rnacentral:lncRNA from 1 species
AUUUGUCUCAAAGUAGCAGCCAUGCCCACUGCUUUUCCAAUUCCAGCUACCACGCACUGGCAUGUGGGGGGCCUGCCACCAGCCAGGCCAGCACUCUGGACAGGAACAGCCCCACCAAGCUCAGUAACAAGUCCCUUGACAGAGACACAGCAGGCUGGACCCCCUACAGCUAUGUGAACGUGUUAGACUCCCAUUUCCAGAUCAGUGCCCUGGAGGCCAGGUACCCGCCCGAGGACUUCUACAUUGAACUUAGACACCUCAGCCGCCCCGCUGAGCCACACUCACCAGAUAAGCCUUGGAUCCAGGAGAGGACAGACAGGACCAGAGCUGAGAGGUGCUUGUGGAAUGGAUAGACGUCAGAACACAUACAUUAUGGACAAAGGCUUCAAAGGCAGGUGGAUGACUCAGCUGGAGAACAAAGUGGCUUCCUGAGGUGGAGUUUCCAGCUUGCCCAGCCCUUCCCCAUUCUCCAGUCCCAGUAGAGAUGGGGUACAGAAGAGUCCAUAAUUCAACACCCUUUUCUCACCACCCAGCCAACACAUACAUGCACUGCUCCAUCCUCUGCUCCUGUAUGGAAGAUACUUCCCCCUGAGCUUAGCCCCUCCCCACAGACAUCAACUUCUCUUUUAUCCAUUUAGGAUCAUCCCCUGCUCCAGAGCCAACAAUUGAUUCCCCAAAACUUUAAAGUAGCCCCGACUUUUCUGGUGAAAAUGAGAAGAGGCACUAUCAACUG